CACCAGACCCUACGGGAGGCAGCAGUGGGGGAUAUUGCACAAUGGAGGAAACUCUGAUGCAGCGACGCCGCGUGAGGGAAGACGGUCUUCGGAUUGUAAACCUCUGUCUUUGGGGAAGAAAAUGACGGUACCCAAAGAGGAAGCUCCGGCUAACUACGUGCCAGCAGCCGCGGUAAUACGUAGGAGGCAAGCGUUAUCCGGAAUGACUGGGCGUAAAGGGUGCGUAGGUGGUUUGACAAGUUGGUAGCGUAACUCCGAGGCUUAACCUCGGCACUACUACCAAAACUGUUGGACUCGAGUGCAGGAGGGGCAAAUGGAAUUCCUAGUGUAGCGGUGGAAUGCGUAGAUAUUAGGAGGAACACCAGUGGCGAAGGCGAUUUGCUGGACUGUAACUGACACUGAGGCACGAAAGCGUGGGGAGCAAACAGGAUUAGAUACCCUUGUAC
rnacentral:rRNA from 1 species